GACGAACGCUGGCGGCGUGCCUAACACAUGCAAGUCGAGCGAAUGAAGUUCCUUCGGGAAUGGAUUUAGCGGCGGACGGGUGAGUAACACGUGGGCAACCUGCCUCAUAGAGGGGAAUAGCCUUCCGAAAGGGAGAUUAAUACCGCAUAAGAUUGUAGUAUCGCAUGAUACAGCAAUUAAAGGAGCAAUCCGCUAUGAGAUGGGCCCGCGGCGCAUUAGCUAGUUGGUGAGGUAACGGCUCACCAAGGCGACGAUGCGUAGCCGACCUGAGAGGGUGAUCGGCCACAUUGGGACUGAGACACGGCCCAGACUCCUACGGGAGGCAGCAGUGGGGAAUAUUGCACAAUGGGGGAAACCCUGAUGCAGCAACGCCGCGUGAGUGAUGACGGCCUUCGGGUUGUAAAGCUCUGUCUUCAGGGACGAUAAUGACGGUACCUGAGGAGGAAGCCACGGCUAACUACGU
rnacentral:rRNA from 1 species